GAUGAACGCUGGCGGCGUGCUUAACACAUGCAAGUCGAACGAUGAACCUCACUUGUGGGGGGAUUAGUGGCGAACGGGUGAGUAACACGUGAGUAACCUGCCCUUGACUCUGGGAUAAGCCUGGGAAACCGGGUCUAAUACUGGAUACGACCUUCUGGCGCAUGCCAUGUUGGUGGAAAGCUUUUGUGGUUUUGGAUGGACUCGCGGCCUAUCAGCUUGUUGGUGGGGUAAUGGCCUACCAAGGCGACGACGGGUAGCCGGCCUGAGAGGGUGACCGGCCACACUGGGACUGAGACACGGCCCAGACUCCUACGGGAGGCAGCAGUGGGGAAUAUUGCACAAUGGGCGCAAGCCUGAUGCAGCGACGCCGCGUGAGGGAUGAAGGCCUUCGGGUUGUAAACCUCUUUCAGUAGGGAAGAAGCCGGCCCUUGGGUUGGUGACGGUACCUGCAGAAGAAGCGCCGGCUAACUACGUGCCAGCAGCCGCGGUAAUACGUAGGGCGCAAGCGUUAUCCGGAAUUAUUGGGCGUAAAGAGCUCGUAGGCGGUUUGUCGCGUCUGCCGUGAAAGUCCGGGGCUUAACUCCGGAUCUGCGGUGGGUACGGGCAGACUAGAGUGCAGUAGGGGAGACUGGAAUUCCUGGUGUAGCGGUGAAAUGCGCAGAUAUCAGGAGGAACACCGAUGGCGAAGGCAGGUCUCUGGGCUGUAACUGACGCUGAGGAGCGAAAGCAUGGGGAGCGAACAGGAUUAGAUACCCUGGUAGUCCAUGCCGUAAACGUUGGGCACUAGGUGUGGGGGACAUUCCACGUUUUCCGCGCCGUAGCUAACGCAUUAAGUGCCCCGCCUGGGGAGUACGGUCGCAAGGCUAAAAUUCAAAGGAAUAGACGGGGGCCGCMCCA
rnacentral:rRNA from 13 species